rnacentral:tRNA from 1 species
GGUCAUGUGGCUCAAUCAGUAGAGCAUCAUGCUAAAAACGUGAAGGUUGUGAGUUCGAGUCUCACCGUGACCA